UUUGUCAUGUAUAAUUGUGCCCGUCUUGCCACACUCUUUGAGAGUUACAAGUGUAGUAUGGAACAAGGUCUGUACCCCACUUUUCCUCCUGUGAGCAGUCUGGACUUCUCACUGCUACAUGAUGAGGUGAGUGUCCCUCCCGGUAGUUGGCACAAGGAGGCCUGGACUUCCCCUCCCAGUACCUUUCUCCCCCACAGGGUGAAUGGUUGUUGCUCUUCAACAGUAUCCUCCCCUUUCCGGAUCUGCUAAGCCAGACAGCAGUGCUGGACUGCACAGCCCCGGGGCUCCACAUUGCUGCACGCACAGAGAUGGUGAGGCAUAGACAACCAGGACACUCUACACUCUAUUCUUUAUUCUGGCCUGGGGCACAAGAGCAAAGAGAUGGGCCAGUGACUCAGUCUCUGUCUCUAGAUAUGCAAGUUCCUGGUACAGCUCAGCAUGGAUUUCAGCUCCUACUACAACCGGGAGGCUCGACCACACCUCUUUGGUCAGAUGUUCGUCCGCCUGCAGCUUCUGAGGGCUGUGCGUGAGGUGCUCCAUACUGGCCUGGCUAUGCUGGGUCUCCCUCCACUGAGCCACAUCUAAGGCCACAGAGGCUCCAAUACUUGGGAAUGUUCACAAAGUCAUCAACUGGAAAAAAAGCAAAAACCCACGGCCAAAAUAAAUUGGUACUGUUACGAA
rnacentral:sRNA from 1 species